rnacentral:rRNA from 1 species
UACACUCCUACGGGAGGCAGCAGUAGGGAAUUUUGGACAAUGGGCGAAAGCCUGAUCCAGCCAUGCCGCGUGCAGGAUGAAGGCCUUCGGGUUGUAAACUGCUUUUGUACGGAACGAAACGGCCUUUUCUAAUAAAGAGGGCUAAUGACGGUACCGUAAGAAUAAGCACCGGCUAACUACGUGCCAGCAGCCGCGGUAAUACGUAGGGUGCAAGCGUUAAUCGGAAUUACUGGGCGUAAAGCGUGCGCAGGCGGUUAUGUAAGACAGUUGUGAAAUCCCCGGGCUCAACCUGGGAACUGCAUCUGUGACUGCAUAGCUAGAGUACGGUAGAGGGGGAUGGAAUUCCGCGUGUAGCAGUGAAAUGCGUAGAUAUGCGGAGGAACACCGAUGGCGAAGGCAAUCCCCUGGACCUGUACUGACGCUCAUGCACGAAAGCGUGGGGAGCAAACAGGAUUAGAAACCCGAGUAGUCC